rnacentral:tRNA from 1 species
GCGGACGUGGCGGAAUGGUAGACGCGUUGGACUUAAAAUCCAUAGGCUCGCGAGGGCCGUGCAGGUUCGAGUCCUGCCGUCCGCACCA